UUUCUCAGGCUUGUAGAAGAGUGGAAUUCUGGAAACCAGUCUUUGCCUCAGGGGAGCAUCUGUUGGAAGUUCUUAGGGAUGCUCAGGCAUAUGGCCUCAGAAACAUGGGCUAUUGAGACAGAGAAAAAGACAACUCUGGAAGGAGAGAGCCUGGACUUACAGAAGACAUCUGAACUAUUAAUCAACAGAAAUCUCACGUAUAGUUGAAGGGCUCCCUUUAGAGUUUCUUGUAGGGUAGGUCUACCAGCUGCACAUGUCAGGACAAGGAGGU
rnacentral:antisense_RNA from 1 species